ACCAGACUCCUACGGGAGGCAGCAGUGGGGAAUAUUGGGCAAUGGGCGAAAGCCUGACCCAGCAACGCCGCGUGAAGGAAGAAGGCUUUCGGGUUGUAAACUUCUUUUGACAGGGAAGAGCAGAAGACGGUACCUGUCGAAUAAGCCACGGCUAACUACGUGCCAGCAGCCGCGGUAAUACGUAGGUGGCAAGCGUUGUCCGGAUUUACUGGGUGUAAAGGGCGUGUAGCCGGGCUGACAAGUCAGAUGUGAAAUCCGGGGGCUCAACCCCCGAACUGCAUUUGAAACUGUUGGUCUUGAGUAUCGGAGAGGCAGGCGGAAUUCCUAGUGUAGCGGUGAAAUGCGUAGAUAUUAGGAGGAACACCAGUGGCGAAGGCGGCCUACUGGGCUUUAACUGACGCUGAGGCACGAAAGCGUGGGUAGCAAACAGGAUUAGAUACCCCAGUAU
rnacentral:rRNA from 1 species